GUUGGGUUCAAACUGUUACGACUUGAUCAUCGCUCUGCUCCAUAACGAUUUAAUUAGCCUACAUUUCAACUGUUACUAAUGAUAUUCAGCAACAACCUCACCGCGGUGACAGCGUUUACAGAGGAAGCAAAUGAAGUGAGCUUCUGGGAGAUGGAUCUAGACAACCAGAACCAAAGCCAGCCCCACCCUGAGAACCCAUCUGGACUAUCAGAGGUUUUAACCCCCACUCCAGCAGCACCUCCAGGCACAGAAACGCCAACCUCUGAACCCUGCGCCAAUGCUCCUGCUCCUCAACCGUCAGUCCCAGCCCGGCCUCGACGGCCUCAGAGGACCCCCAGAGUAGAGGGCUCUGUAGACGUCUGUGAGCCCACACCUGACCCCACAGAGGCUAACCAGGACAGAUCCACUCCUGAUGCUCCAGCUGGGGCCAGCCGUCAUAAGCCCCUGCGGCCUGGAGCAGCCAAGCCCCCUGGGGGGCCUGGAGAGCCAGUGGGGUACACUGAAACCACUCUGAAGGCUGGCCCUAAAGUCCCAGGCCACCCCCCUGGGGCCCGGAACCCCAUCUCAAUGAGGGCAGCCUCAGUGCCCCAGCCACCGCCCUCCAGGCCUAUACCUCCCCACCUCAACCCUCAUGCCCAGAGGGCCUUCUCCGUGUCGGGCACCGCGGACACACAGGCCCAGGUGGUAGAAGACUUCAGGUGAGCUCCAGGUGUUUCUCAAUAUGCAUUCUACCGUGCUCCACACUCUCAUGCUCCAAGUGCAUUGUCCAAGGACGUUCUCUUGAGUACCUUCCUUCUAGCCAGGACAAUGGAAAUAGAGACGAAAAAAGAUAUACACAAAGCAAACGUUUUACUUCAUAACUAUCAGUUAGCUAUAUGUGAAUCAUAAUAAAGAAGCUAACCAGAUAGUGUAAAAGGCAAAAAUGACCUAAAACCAAUGUUAUCCAAGGUAGAUGUUAAUUAUUUGUGGGUAGCUAGCUAACAAUUAUUUGUGGCUAUCUGGCUAGCUAACAGGAGUAACUAUUGACUUCCUAUGGGCUUGCGACCUACACACACUACAAUGGGUAUUGUAGGCAUGUAACC
rnacentral:lncRNA from 1 species